UACGUAGGGCGCAAGCGUUAUCCGGAAUUAUUGGGCGUAAAGAGCUCGUAGGCGGUUUGUCGCGUCUGCUGUGAAAACCCGAGGCUCAACCUCGGGCCUGCAGUGGGUACGGGCAGACUGGAGUGCGGUAGGGGAGAUUGGAAUUCCUGGUGUAGCGGUGGAAUGCGCAGAUAUCAGGAGGAACACCGAUGGCGAAGGCAGAUCUCUGGGCCGUAACUGACGCUGAGGAGCGAAAGCGUGGGGAGCGAACAGG
rnacentral:rRNA from 1 species